rnacentral:rRNA from 1 species
UACGUAGGGAGCAAGCGUUGUUCGGAUUUACUGGGCGUAAAGGGCGCGUAGGCGGCGCGGUAAGUCACUUGUGAAAUCUCUGAGCUUAACUCAGAACGGCCAAGUGAUACUGCAGUGCUAGAGUGCAGAAGGGGCAAUCGGAAUUCUUGGUGUAGCGGUGAAAUGCUUAGAUAUGACAUAGAACACCAAUUGCGAAGGCAGCUCACUACUCAAUCAUUGACUCUGAGGCACGAAAGCGUGGGGAUCAAACAGG